rnacentral:rRNA from 1 species
UACGGAGGGUGCAAGCGUUAUCCGGAUUCACUGGGUUUAAAGGGUGCGUAGGCGGGCAGGUAAGUCCGUGGUGAAAUCUCUGAGCUUAACUCAGAACGGCCAAGUGAUACUGCUGUGCUAGAGUGCAGAAGGGGCAAUCGGAAUUCUUGGUGUAGCGGUGAAAUGCGUAGAUAUCAAGAGGAACACCUGAGGUGGAGACGGGUUGCUGGGCUGACACUGACGCUGAGGCGCGAAAGCCAGGGGAGCAAACGGG